rnacentral:rRNA from 1 species
AAAUGAAUAGACGGGUCCCCGCACAAGCAGCGGAGCGUGUGGUUUAAUUCGUUGCUACGCGAAAAACCUUACCUGGGUUUGACAUAGCAGUGGUAGGGAAGAGAAAUCGGACCGACCCUUCGGGGAGCUGUUACAGGUGUUGCAUGGCUGUCGUCAGCUCGUGUCGUGAGAUGUUCGGUUAAGUCCGCUAACGAGCGCAACCCGCGUUGUGUGUUAUACGUGUCACACAAUACCGCCGGUAUUAAGUCGGAGGAAGGUGCGGAUGACGUCAAGUCAGCAUGACCUUUAUAUCCAGGGCUACACACACGCUACAAUGGCCAGCACAACAGGUUGCCAAGCCGCGAGGCGGAGCCAAUCCUCCAAAGCUGGUCUCAGUUCAGAUUGUAGGCUGCAACUCGCCUGCAUGAAGUUGGAGUUGCUAGUAACCGCAGGUCAGAACUACUGCGGUGAAUACGUUCCCGGGGAUUGUACACACCGCCCGU